rnacentral:sRNA from 1 species
GAAUAAGAGAUUAGAUAGACGCCUAUAUAAACAGCUAGCAAUAAUUAAAAAAUCAGUUACCUUUCACAUUGUGAUAAGAUUAUUGGGAAUGUCUAGAUGUAAUUAAACACCCAAUGUUUUCAAGAAUAUUUAUUAACGGAAACUAAUUUUAGCAUGCAACAUUGUACACUAUUAGUUGCCUAGGUUUAUGGCACCCAAGUCAGAAUUACGGGCUUAUUUCUCUCAAUGGUUCAGAUAAGCCUUAAAAAGUCAUUAUCAAGCAUAUGGCAUUUACAGUUCAUUAUGUUUGUCUUUUGGACAGAUAACCGAGCGAAUACGAUUAAAGUGUUCUGUGGCUUUACAUUACGUUUCACACGAAUGAAUGUGUGUGUGUAUAUAAUAAUUAUGAACCUUACGCGAAUCUUGUAAAAAUUGUAUAAAAUCACCCGAAAGCGCCAGCUUUUGAAAUUAACAAAAUGCUCCUUAUGCACUCCUCCCAUUGGAUACACCCAUCAAUACAUUUAUUCCAUCUAAAGGGCGAUCCAAGUGUGAUGACGAAAAAAAAUAAAAUGUGCCCAGUGAUAUUAAGUGUGUGCCAUCGGUCACAUACGAUCCUCAUCUAAUCUGCUAACUCAAUUAAUUUGUGGCCAUUCGAGUGGAGUGCCAAUGUCUGCACGUAUCUGGCUGAAGACGAUAAGAAUCACAAUCGGGAACUUGACAGGCAUUCAUUUCAUCUCUAAGGUGAAUCCUUAGGUUAAGAAGCAGGACUAAAAAGAACUAAAGCUUUCCACUAUGAUGUAUUGAUUCUUUUUACUCUAUAAAUGAAUAAGUUUUCGCUGCAGAUCAUUUUGUUUUACAAAUUCAUACAAUUUGCAAACUCCAAGUUACAGUUUAAUUACAGCAACAGUGCUCGCAAGUGAAGUACAAGACUAGGCAAGGAAAGCUGAUAACAAUAAAAAACCAUGAACACGGAAAA